GGUGGCGAGUGGCGAACGGGUGAGUAAUAUAUCGGAACGUAUCCAAUAAUGGGGGAUAACUAAUCGAAAGGUUGGCUAAUACCGCAUACGCCCUACGGGGGAAAGCUAGGGACCUUCGGGCCUGGCGUUAAUGGAGCGGCUGAUAUCUGAUUAGCUAGUAGGUGAGGUAAAGGCUCACCUAGGCGACGAUCAGUAGCUGGUCUGAGAGGACGACCAGCCACACUGGAACUGAGACACGGUCCAGACUCCUACGGGAGGCAGCAGUGGGGAAUUUUGGACAAUGGGCGAAAGCCUGAUCCAGCCAUUCCGCGUGAGUGAAGAAGGCCUUCGGGUUGUAAAGCUCUUUCGCAAGGGAAGAAAACUUAGGCGCUAAUAUCGCUUGAGGUUGACGGUACCUUGAUAAGAAGCACCGGCUAACUACGUGCCAGCAGCCGCGGUAAUACGUAGGGUGCGAGCGUUAAUCGGAAUUACUGGGCGUAAAGCGUGCGCAGGCGGGUUUUGUAAGUCAGAUGUUGAAAUCCCCGAGCUCAACUUGGGAACUGCGUUUGAAACUAUAAGACUAGAAUAUGGUCAGAGGGGGGGGUAGAAUUUUCCACGUGUAGCAGUGAAAUUGCGUAAGAGAUGUGGAAGGAAUACCAAUGGCGAAGGCAGCCCCCUGGGAUAAUAUUGACGCUCAUGCCACGAAAGCGUGGGGAGCCAAAC
rnacentral:rRNA from 1 species